rnacentral:rRNA from 1 species
AACUAACAAGGAUUCCCCUAGUAACGGCGAGUGAACCGGGAAGAGCUCAAAUUUGAAAUCUGGCGUGCUCAGUGCGUCCGAGUUGUAAUCUAUAGAGUCGUUUUCCGUGCCGGACUGUGUCCAAGUCCCUUGGAACAGGGUAUCAAAGAGGGUGAUAAUCCCGUACUUGACACAAUGACCGGUGCUCUGUGAUACGUCUUCUACGAGUCGAGUUGUUUGGGAAUGCAGCUCAAAAUGGGUGGUGAGUUCCAUCUAAAGCUAAAUAUUGGCGAGAGACCGAUAGCGAACAAGUACCGUGAGGGAAAGAUGAAAAGCACUUUGGAAAGAGAGUUAAACAGUACGUGAAAUUGUUAAAAGGGAAACGAUUGAAGUCAGUCGUGACUGAGAGGCUCAGCCGGUUCUGCCGGUGUAUUCCCCUCAGUCGGGUCAACAUCAGUUUUGUUCGGUGGAUAAGGGCAGUUGGAAGGUGGCACCCUCGGGUGUGUUAUAGCCAGCUGUCGCAUACAUCGGAUGAGACUGAGGAAUGCAGCCCCACGUUCGAGCUAGGAUGU